CGCUGCUGAAAACCAACGAUGGGGCUAUUGCUGGUUCUGAUUCUAUUAUCCUGGGCUGUUUCUGUCCUUGAUCAUAUUAGAUUCAAAAUUCUUGUCCUGCUGCAACCAUCAUCAUCACCGCAAAAUUAACGUUGCUGUUGUUCCAAUGGAUGCGGUGUCCUCGAUUUCAUUGGAAUUAUCACUGUUGCUGCGAAUUUAAAAUAAACGGAUUUAUCACAGUUAAUUCCUACGGAUUCGACUUUCUGAGGAACCGAAUGAAGAAGCACUAAGAAGAGUUAUACUG